rnacentral:rRNA from 1 species
GACGAACGCUGGCGGCGUGCUUAACACAUGCAAGUCGAACGGAAAGGCCCUGCUUUUGUGCGGUCCUCGAGUUACGAACUGGUAACUAACCCGUGAGUAACCUGCCCUUGACUUUGGGAUAACUUCAUACAACUGGGGCUAAUACCGGAUAGGAGCUCCUGCUGCAUGGUGGGGGUUGGUCUGUUUCGGCAGUUGGUGAUGUACUCGCGGCUUAUCAGCUUGUUGGUGGGGUAGUGGCUUACCAAGGCUUGGCGGGGUUGCCUGCCUGAGAGGGUGACCGGAUACAUUGGAAUUGAGAUACGACACAGACUACUCUGGGAGGCAGCGGAGGAGAAUAUUGUACAAUGGGCGGAAGGCUGAUGCAGCAACGCCGCGUGGGGGGAGACGGCCUUCGGGUAGUAUAGCGAAGUUGCCUGGGACGAGGCGUGAGUGACGGUAAUGGAUAAAGAAGCACCGGCUAACUACGUG